GAACUACCAAAAGGCAUUGGCUUUAUUCGCAGGAGCUGCUGUUAACAGAGCAAAUAGUUUUUGGCUCCAUGCUUUAGAAGAUAUAUUGGCAGAAACUCAAGAGAAGCAGUUGAUCCAUUUGUUUCAGAAUUUGAGGCAUAUAAAAUGGACAUGACAGUGGAAGUGUUAAAACUGGCCUCCAGGAUUAUGGGGUUGUUAUCUGUUGCGCGUAGAGGAGUAUGGCAUAG